rnacentral:lncRNA from 1 species
GGAAAUAAAUGUUAAUGGUUAGACACACACGAUUCAGUCAGUCUGUCAGUGUUUUAUACGAUUAACUAACCGGCCAUUCUCAGUGCAUGGCUGUAUGCUCAUCGUCUGACGAGUCUAUAAACAUAGUUUCUUUUUAACAAACGAGGACUUUUCCUGACACAAUUUGUUUCAUUUGACAAAUGUAUACCAAGAGGUUUACCCUCAUUACUAUUGUCUAAAAACUUAACUGUUAUUGACAUAAUUCGGAUUAUCGAAUGUUCACAACUUAUCAAGUCAUGGCUGUGCGUUACCACAUGAGUGUGUCCCAAAAAAGUCCCCCUUUAGAAAUCACUCCAUGACUUGUGCGUUAUUAUACCUUUGGUACAUUACAACUUCCCUUCGUCCAAAU